UACGUAGGGUGCAAGCGUUGUCCGGAAUUAUUGGGCGUAAAGAGCUUGUAGGCGGUUUGUCGCGUCUGCUGUGAAAUUUCGGGGCUCAACCCCGGACUUGCAGUGGGUACGGGCAGACUAGAGUGUGGUAGGGGAGACUGGAAUUCCUGGUGUAGCGGUGAAAUGCGCAGAUAUCAGGAGGAACACCGAUGGCGAAGGCAGGUCUCUGGGCCAUAACUGACGCUGAGAAGCGAAAGCAUGGGGAGCGAACAGG
rnacentral:rRNA from 1 species